AUUUUUGUUAUAAUAACAUGACGUUCAUUACACAAUGUUUGUAAAAGUAAUUGACCGAAGUCAAUCAACAGUUCACAGGUGUAGAUGGAUAUAGUUUAACGCUCAGAGAGCAAUUCACUAAUGAUCCUUCCGCAGGUUCACCUACGGAAA
rnacentral:misc_RNA from 1 species